rnacentral:rRNA from 1 species
UACGUAGGGGGCUAGCGUUGUCCGGAAUCAUUGGGCGUAAAGGGCGCGUAGGCGGCGUGACAAGUCACUUGUGAAAUCUCCGGGCUUAACUCGGAACGGUCAAGUGAUACUGUCGUGCUAGAGUACAGAAGGGGCAACUGGAAUUCUCGGUGUAGCGGUGAAAUGCGUAGAUAUCGAGAGGAACACCUGCGGCGAAGGCGGGUUGCUGGGCUGAUACUGACGCUGAGGCGCGAAAGCUAGGGGAGCGAACGGG